rnacentral:rRNA from 1 species
CUCCGGGCUUCAGCAGUGGGGAAUUUUGGGCAAUGGGCGAAAGCCUGACCCAGCAACGCCGCGUGGAGGAUGAAGGUUCUCGCCCCGUAAACUCCUUCCCCCUUCUCCUCCUCCCGUGACGGUAUCAUGGGAGGAAGCCCCGGCUAACUCCGUGCCAGCAGCCGCGGUAAUACGGGGGGGGCGAGCGUGUUCGGAAUUACUGGGCGUAAAGGGCGCGUAGGCGGUUUCGGAAGUCAAGGGUGAAAGCCCCGAGCUCAACUCGGGAAUUGCCUUUGAAACCACGGAACUAGAGUGUUGGAGAGGAAAGCGGAAUUUCCAGUGUAGCGGUGAAAUGCGUAGAUAUUGGAAGGAACAUCUGAGGCGAAGGCGGCUUUCUGGACAGACACUGACGCUGAGGCGCGAAAGCCAGGGGAGCGAACGGGAUUAGAUACCCCUGUAGUC